UUCCAGCAUAUUGAUAUGCAUGUUUAAAGUCAAAGUAGUGGAAAAUGAUAGGUAGGAUAAACCUUUGUGCAUUAGAGAACCCAUUCACUGCCGCUGAGCAGCUGAUCGAGGUAGAGCAAAUCACUUGAUGAGAUCAAUCCAGGACUUCAUUAAUUAAUCAAUGCUCUAAAACAGCAGCAAAGCAUGCAUGUAAGUUUCAAUCCAGAUGAGCCAGAACUCGUUCUCCAAAUUUCUCGUAGCAGUAUAGUAUCAGGGUGUAUGAGCCGAAAUGCUUAUCACACAACCAAACUUGGUACAACCGCUAGCUAGAUAGUUAAAAGACCGGCAUGAUUGACUCUAGAGAUAUCCAUGGAAUAUACCGUGAGUCAUUAAGGGGAAAAAAGAUCAGAAAAUUCAAGACUUUGUCAUGAGAAAAUUAAGGAAACUUGGAGGAGAAUUCACCUCUAGAUGAAUGGCCAAGAUCGCAUCACAAGAGAGGAGGAUUCCUUUAUAAAUAGCAGCCAUUCUUUAAGCCAAGACCAUCACUUCUUGACGCAAAAUUCAAUUCAUUAGACAAACUCUCUUCUCUCCAAAACCCUCUCUAAAAAUUCAGAAAAAGCCUAUUGCCAUGAAGAGCUUUAGGACUUCUCCAAGGUUGUUCGUGUUCUUGAAGGCCUAGUUGUGUGUUCUCUUGAUGUUCUCCAAGCUGCUUCCUUGAAGAUCAAAAAGUGAGUACCCUCAAUCCCCGAUUAGAACGAUUCCUACUUGCUUAUAUACUAACGAAUGACAACAGGGUUUUAAAUUGUGUGCUACUUUUAGCAUAUCAAUAGCCAAUUGCAUUACUGUUUGCUCCACUCAAACUAAGCUAGAUAUUUUGUAUCUAAAGUACUUUUAAUCUACUUUAAUAUGCUUUCAUUCUAGAUAUUUUGUAGGUUAAUCUUGUAUCCUAUAUAAGGGAAGUGAUAGUUGAUGUAAAAGUAGAUCAGAGAAAAGAACAAUUCAAAAACUUAAAGCACAAUGUUUGCUAAUUUUUUU